AAUGAACGCUGGCGGCAUGCCUUACACAUGCAAGUCGAGCGGUAGCACAGAGAGCUUGCUCUCAGGUGACGAGCGGCGGACGGGUGAGUAAUGUCUGGGAAACUGCCUGAUGGAGGGGGAUAACUACUGGAAACGGUAGCUAAUACCGCAUAACGUCGCAAGACCAAAGUGGGGGACCUUCGGGCCUCAUGCCAUCAGAUGUGCCCAGAUGGGAUUAGCUAGUAGGUGGGGUAACGGCUCACCUAGGCGACGAUCCCUAGCUGGUCUGAGAGGAUGACCAGCCAAACUGGAACUGAGACACGGUCCAGACUCCUACGGGAGGCAGCAGUGGGGAAUAUUGCACAAUGGGCGCAAGCCUGAUGCAGCCAUGCCGCGUGUGUGAAGAAGGCCUUCGGGUUGUAAAGCACUUUCAGCGGGGAGGAAGGCGGUGAGGUUAAUAACCUCGUCGAUUGACGUUACCCGCAGAAGAAGCACCGGCUAACUCCGUGCCAGCCGCCGCGGUAAGAC
rnacentral:rRNA from 1 species